CACCACAGGUAUCUACCAACAACUGCAAAAAGGACAAGAGUUGCCAGUCUUUUCAUCGAGCAGUGCCCGAUUUCAUCAAACUGUACUGAAACUCACGUGAGCUCAGGCAGAAGUCUAAGUCCAAACUCUGCCCCUCUCCUGGCUGAGCGAGUGGCGGACGUGUCACAAGCUCCAAGCUCCACCCAUCUCCUGGCCAAGGGAGCGAGGUUCCACGCAACUAAAAAGUUAGGAACAGAGCCAGUUCGAGUUAUCAUCAUGGUGGUAAGUUGGGCAGUCCAGCGCAAGGUGGUCUGCCAUCGGGAGGUCGCCACACUCACAAGAGGUAGUCCCCAGGUGAACACGUUGCUGCUAAACAGACCGAUGCCAGUUCAGAUCCCAUUCGAGUGGCACCAUUCCUCCUUCUGGAAGAAGUCACAUCCCCAAGGUUUAAUGCAGGUGGCAAGAUAUUGCAGAUGGCCAGCAGGAUAUCUCUAAAUGUUGUUGGAUGGAUUCAGAUGAUAUUUGUUGGGAAUGUUUGAUAUGUGACAAGGACAAAUUAAUUAGAUUUUGGUGAAGAUCCGGACCCAGAUACAAGAAUUUUUAAAGUGAUUCUUCACCAUUGAGAGAUCGGGCCAAAAACGAUAAAAAGCACGAUAUCUAAAAAACGUUAUGUACGGAUUCGGACAAAACUUGGUGGACAGGUUGCGUGUGUGACAAGGACGAAUUGAUUCGAUUUUGGUGAAGAUCCGAAUCUGGAUCUGACAAUUUUUUUAUUUUAAAAUUUCUUCUUCACCACUGAGAGGCAUGGCAAAAAACGAUAUAUAGCACGAUAUUUCAAAAAUGUAUUGGGCCCGAUAUGUUCUACUGGAUGAGGCAUUGCAUGGCGGAGGUACGCGCUCUACCGAGUGUUCUUCUAGUUCCUUCUGUGACUCUCUUUCUCUGUCCUACUCUCAAGUUGAACGUCCUCUGCUCACCUUCGAUCUUCCAAUAACUCCUAGCUAUGCGAACCUUUUCUUGCAUAUAAUUUUGCACUUGAUUAAGAUGAAUGGGUUUUGUAUCUUUUUAUCUCAUUAAAUAUUUUGAAUUUUUCUAGAACACCACACUUUAAUGGUGCAAUGUUAAAAUUUCAUCUUGCCCUC
rnacentral:lncRNA from 1 species